AAUGGCAGCCACAAUUAUGAUCAAGCGACAAGCGGUCUGUCUGAGGAUGAUAGAGAUGGAUUUCUCCAGGGCAAUGCCAACCUUGCUCCUCCUGCCUCUAGUAAUCAGACCUCCAGUUUAUGUUCUGCCAAACUCUUCCCAUUGGACAUCUGGCCCCAGCAGGGAGAAACACAGACCAAGGCACUUAUUUUGGCUUUGACGUCAGCAAAGGAAGGCUGAUGAAAUUCAUCAUCAGCGCAGAUGAAAAUCCACCGAGCCCUAUCUCUCUUCCUUACACCGCCUCCGUUUCGAAAGCUGACAGAGGUCUCGCUUUCCUUUUGUUUUCAUUUUGCUCUGGAUUAAGCCUGAAUCGGUGGAUGUGGUCGCCAGAUGCCAGGAGAAGUCACCUGCCAUUUGCAGCCAUCCUCAAAUACACCAAGUCAGCAUUUCAAUUCACGAAAGCUCCCAAGACAGAUGUGAAACAGAAAGACGCCAUUGUGGGAAAAUCCCUUCCCUUCUCUGGACAUAUCUAAAUAGGCUGUUAUAUGUGUGACUCCCUCUCAGGGUAAGUAUGGCUAAGACAUGCUAUGUCCCUUCAUUGGGUUACUCUACAUUUGACUCUGUCACUGUGACACUAUAUGCUGCCAAAACAUCACAUCCCUUCCCUUGGAACAAAAAGGUCUUUUCAUAAGACUUAUUAAGUCUGAACAUUAAUCAUAUUCAUCAUUAUUCAGUCUGCCUGCUGUCCACAAUACUUAAAUGAAGGGAAAUUUUAAAAAUAGAAAAAGACAAGUUUAGGAACUUCAAGACAAUGAUGAGAAAGGAAUGAUGGGGAAGAA
rnacentral:lncRNA from 1 species